AUCACUUCUCAGCCUUUUGGCUAAGAUCAAGUAUACUAUCUGUUCUUAUCAGCUAAUAUCUUAUAUGUUCUCUUUCCGAGGACAAUAUUAAAUGGACUGUUGGAAAUAGCAGAUAGAACAUAAGUUUGUUUUGUCUACUCCAUACAUUAACCUGGCAUUGCAGUACUGCCAAGAGACAGAGAGAGAGAA
ensembl:snRNA U2 U2 spliceosomal RNA